rnacentral:miRNA from 1 species
CACGUAGGGUCCAAAGCCAUUG